rnacentral:rRNA from 1 species
GACGGAGGGGGCUAGCGUUGUUCGGAAUUACUGGGCGUAAAGCGCGCGUAGGCGGAUUGAUCAGUCAGAGGUGAAAUCCCAGGGCUCAACCCUGGAACUGCCUUUGAUACUGUCAGUCUUGAGUUCGAGAGAGGUGAGUGGAAUUCCGAGUGUAGAGGUGAAAUUCGUAGAUAUUAGGAGGAACACCAGUGGCGAAGGCGGCUCACUGGCUCGAUACUGACGCUGAGGUGCGAAAGCGUGGGGAGCAAACAGGAUUAGAUACCCCAGUAGUCC